UUGACGCGUUUGCACGAGCAAAUCGGCGCGUACGCGUUAUCAUAAAAUUUUUUGUUUUCGAGUCGAGUUUUUCGAGCGAACGCCAAAAAGCAAUUGAAAAAAAUCUUUAAUUGAAGCAAAAGUUGAACAAACAAUUGGCAAUUAAAAAAAAAAACUUGUCUAGCCACGCAUGUACGCGCAGGAAAUAAAGAAACUCACAUCUGCGCUUUGGAUGUGUUGUUGUUUUAGCUAAUACUGGUGUGCAGAUUUAAGCCUAAAGUCAAAGUCUGCAAAACAACAAAAAAUCUUUGCGAGUAGAAAAUGCAAUAUGAAAUAAAAUACUGUCAUUUCUCAACUGGU